rnacentral:ncRNA from 1 species
UACCUGGUUGAUUCUGCCAGUAGUCAUAUGCUUGUCUCAAAGAUUAAGCCAUGCAUGUCUAAGUAUAAGCAAUUUAUACGGUGAAACUGCGAAUGGCUCAUUAAAUCAGUUAUCGUUUAUUUGAUAGUACCUUGCUACAUGGAUACCUGUGGUAAUUCUAGAGCUAAUACAUGCUGAAAACCUCGACUUCGGAAGGGGUGUAUUUAUUAGAUAAAAAACCAAUGCCCCUCGGGGCUCCUUGGUGAUUCAUAAUAACUAAACGAAUCGCAUGGCCUUGCGCCGGCGAUGGUUCAUUCAAAUUUCUGCCCUAUCAACUUUCGAUGGUAGGAUAGUGGCCUACCAUGGUGGCAACGGGUAACGGGGAAUUAGGGUUCGAUUCCGGAGAGGGAGCCUGAGAAACGGCUACCACAUCCAAGGAAGGCAGCAGGCGCGCAAAUUACCCAAUCCCGAUUCGGGGAGGUAGUGACAAUAAAUACUGAUACGGGGCUCUUUUGGGUCUCGUAAUUGGAAUGAGUACAAUUUAAAUCCCUUAACGAGGAACAAUUGGAGGGCAAGUCUGGUGCCAGCAGCCGCGGUAAUUCCAGCUCCAAUAGCGUAUAUUAAAGUUGUUGCAGUUAAAAAGCUCGUAGUUGAACCUUGGGUCUGGCUGGCCGGUCCGCCUCACCGCGAGUACUGGUCCGGCUGGACCUUUCCUUCUGGGGAACUCCAUGGCCUUCACUGGCCGUGGGGGGAACCAGGACUUUUACUGUGAAAAAAUUAGAGUGUUCAAAGCAGGCCUUUGCUCGAAUACAUUAGCAUGGAAUAAUAGAAUAGGACGUGCGGUUCUAUUUUGUUGGUUUCUAGGACCGCCGUAAUGAUUAAUAGGGAUAGUCGGGGGCGUCAGUAUUCAGCUGUCAGAGGUGAAAUUCUUGGAUUUGCUGAAGACUAACUACUGCGAAAGCAUUCGCCAAGGAUGUUUUCAUUAAUCAGGGAACGAAAGUUAGGGGAUCGAAGACGAUCAGAUACCGUCGUAGUCUUAACCAUAAACUAUGCCGACUAGGGAUCGGACGG